rnacentral:rRNA from 1 species
AAUGAACGCUAGCGGCGUGUUUAAGACAUGCAAGUUGAACGGAGAAUACGGUAGUUUACUAUUUGUAUUCUUAGUGGCGGACGGGUGAGUAACACGUGAACUACCUACCAUAAAGUGAAGGACAGUCCUGGGAAACUGGGUUUAAUACUUCAUGUGCAUAUAUGUAAAGGAGCCUUCGGGUUUCGCUUUAUGAUGGGUUCGCGGUCUAUCAGCUAGUUGGUGAGGUAAUGGCUCACCAAGGCGACGACGGAUAGCUGGUCUUAGAGGAUGAUCAGUCACACUGGAACUGAGACACGGUCCAGACACCUACGGGUGGCAGCAGUCGAGAAUAAUUCACAAUGGACGAAAGUCUGAUGGUGCAACGCCGCGUGGAGGAUGAAGGUUUUCGGAUCGUAAACUCCUGUCAUUGUAGAGUAAGGCUUAGUAGUUAAUACCUGCUAAGCUUGAGAGUAUACAAAGAGGAAGGGACGGCUAACUUCG